rnacentral:rRNA from 1 species
GUUUGAUCAUGGCUCAGGAUGAACGCUAGCGGCAGGGCUUAACACAUGCAAGUCAGGGGGUAUGGUUUUCGGACCAAGAGACCGGCGCACGGGUACGUAACGCGUAUGCAAUCACCUUUGCAGAGGGAUAGCCCAGAGAAAUUUGGAUUAAUACCUCAUAGUAUAGCAGUUUCGCAUGAAACCACUAUUAAAGUCACAACGGCAAAAGAUGAGCAUGCGUCCCAUUAGCUUGUUGGUAAGGUAACGGCUUACCAAGGCAACGAUGGGUAGGGGUCCUGAGAGGGAGAUCCCCCACACUGGUACUGAGACACGGACCAGACUCCUACGGGAGGCAGCAGUGAGGAAUAUUGGACAAUGGGCGCAAGCCUGAUCCAGCCAUGCCGCGUGCAGGAAGAAGCAUCUAUGGUGUGUAAACUGCUUUUGUACGGGAAGAAACACUCCUACGUGUAGGAGCUUGACGGUACCGUAAGAAUAAGGAUCGGCUAACUUCGUG